rnacentral:rRNA from 1 species
GGGGGGAGCAAGCGUUGUUCGGAUUUACUGGGCGUAAAGGGCGCGUAGGCGGCCACCGCAAGUCGAUUGUGAAAUCUCCGGGCUUAACCCGGAAAGGUCAACCGAUACUGCGGGGCUAGAGUGCAGAAGGGGCAACUGGAAUUCUUGGUGUAGCGGUGAAAUGCGUAGAUAUCAAGAGGAACACCUGCGGCGAAGGCGGGUUGCUGGGCUGACACUGACGCUGAAGUGCGAAAGCUAGGGGAGCGAACGGGAUUAGAUACCCCGGUAGUCCUAGCCUUAAACGAUGAAUGCUUGGUGUCUGGGGUUUUAUAGUCCCCGGGUGCCGUCGCUAACGCUUUAAGCAUUCCGCCUGGGGAGUACGGUCGCAAGACUG